AACAUACUAAACACAUAGCCCUGUCAGCUGUAAAUAGCUUGUUUGUAUACAUGAGACAGUUCAGUUUAGUUACCCUUUAAAAGGUAUGUCACUUUCCCUGAGUCACUGUUACAGGCUGUAGCCAGAGUGUAAUCAGCUGAGCUUGUUCCACCUGCUCUUUAGACAGAGGUUGUAACAUCCUGUUGCAGCUUGGUGUAAAUGGAAGUCCCCAGAGGCCUCUCAGCAGAUGACAUGCCACCAUCACUCAUAGGCAGGUUCAGGAAACCCUGAUUCCUCAUCAGCCAUCUUGUGCUGUUGAGAUUGCGACAAUCUUCCCAAGUGGAGUUAGAUGCGUAGAUGUUUCCUGAAAUAGCCCACAUUCCUGGCAUUCCUCCUUUCAGACAGAGGCAGAUGUAGGCUCUGAUCUCCCUUUGAACGCCAAGCCUCUCUGCUUUCCCCAGGCUCCUCAUGCUUUAUUAGUUGUUAACAACAUAAGCCCUCGGCCUGCAUGCUGGCUGCAACGUCCCUCAGAGUUGGUAUAGUUCGCCUCAGAUGUUCUAAGUGGUUGAUUUAAAAAGAAAUGUUUCCCAGUAAAAUACACGAUAAAAAUGCAUGAUUACAUUUGUCUGUGUAAGUCUGCGUCCUCCAAAACCUAAAUAUGUUGCAUUGGUAAACAGUGUGUAUCACAAAUGAUAGUCUAAGCGGUAAAAACUGUGUGGGAUGCUACUGCUGUGGAGAAACAGCAGCCAAGGAGAGAAUAACAUGUUCUCACUGCUAGUGUUCUGCUGAAUCCAGUCUUAGAUUCACCAGUAUGCUAAUCUAAUUGCGUUUAGAAAAAACAACAACCAUGACCCACUCCCUCCUUUCCUCCCACUCCCCCACUGCUGGUGCUCCAUUGAUGCUGUAUUGACUCCUCUGUGCUGACCUUGUUAAUAUGCGCUGGGUUACUUUCUCAUAAAUAUUUCAACUCAAUGUUUUCAGGCUUCUGAAAACAACCUGUCAGUAGAAAGCCUGUUUCAUCCUGCGUUGUGCAGGCGUUGCGCUGUGCUGCUUUUGUAGCCCCGACCUCCUACAUGACAGGAUUGGCCCAGCCGAGGCCUCACCCUCCUUCGCCUGACAAGGUUAAUUGUUCUCUAUUGUUUGGCCUGUCCUUCCCGAACUUUGAGAGGUGUCAAACCAGCACAGCUACCUGCACCAUAACACCUUCCUAAAGUGUUUUUUUAAAGAUAACUUUGGAUCUAAAUGUUGUUGCAGGAUUUUAUUAGCAUAACUAAUUUUGCAAUUAAUACUUCCCCUGGAUGUACUGUAAUAAGGAAGCUCACGCUGUGUUAUGGUGAAUAUCAGCCUGCUGUCUCCAGAGCCACAGCCCAGUCUGAGCAGCCAUUCUGGGGAUAGAGUUACACUAAUCUCACAGGCCUCUCCCAGACCACUGACAUAGACAACCACUCCUCAAAAAGGACACUGUAUUCCUAUUUUAUUGUAAUUAAUGACACUCCCUUGCAUUUUUGAUAUUUGAGGUGUGUUGUGAUUACUUAUGUUUCAUUGAGUAAGCAUGUUGUGUUUAUGUGCAAGCCCGACCGGCAUUACUACAAGCUUAGUGUAGUGGCUGCAGUGUAAACACAUCUGACCGUUUUGGUUCGUACAUACCUGACGCCUUUUACUCUGAUUUUCUUACAGCCUUGUCUCACUUAUUUUAACACUUUAAAACUAAACGGAGAAAGUAAAGGUAUCCUUACUUUACUGAAUGAUUAGUUUUCCUGCCAGUGUAGUGUAACUCAGUAUAUCAACACUGAGAAAUAAAGACAUGCCUAAAAAUGUUUUCAACUUAGGGGCCUGUAAAUGCUUUUUUUUUGUAAAUGACAAAUAAUGAUUUUUGUUUUUACAUAACUGUUUGACAUGUCUUUAAUUAAGUUAAGUUAAAUUGUGCUCAUAUUAGAAUAUAAUCUCAGAGACAAACAAUAGAUAGAUAGAAUAUACCAUCAUUUGGCUUUGUAAACCAGUACUUUCCAUAAAGAACAGGAAGUCUUACUGUACAAACUAUAAAAACACAUGACAGUAAAAAUGCAUUUAGUUUUAGUCUUCAGAAGUGACAGCUGUUUUUAAAUAGUCAGAAUUGAUGGAAAAACAUUUAUUUUUAGAUUACUUUCAGCAGCACAUCAUAUCUCAACAUCAGUCCCCGAUUGACUGAUGCUGUUAACUCUUCCCUACAAAUAAUAUAUUCUAUGUAUAAUUCAUAACGCACAUUUAAAUGUACUCAAAAUAGAAACAUUCAAUGAAUCCUAAGUAAUUAAUGAGAUUUGCUGAGUGGUACGAGUGCAGAUAGACACAAAAAGACAUUAAUUCUAUACAUCUGUUCUAAGGAGUCAAAUCAAUAUCAAUCGCCUUCUUAAAUGGCUUUUGAUCAUCUCUGACACUAGAUCGCACCUUUGGGACUCAAAAAUCAAGUGUCACAUCUUCUAAAGGUCCUGACACACCAAGCCAACUGCCAGGAACUAGUGGGCUGACGUGAGGCGAUGCCACAAUCUUCCUUCGUCGCCUUUGUCUUGGCCAAAAAUUAGCACUGGAACACACUGCAAAGACUACAGCCGAUGGCCAAAUACCGCGUACG